CUGAAGGUGUCGUCCUUCCUCCCCAGCGGCAGUGUGUACCCCAGGGAGCAGAAGGUGCUGUCCUUCCUCCCCAGCGGCAGUGUGUAUCCCAGGGAGCUGAAGGUGUCCGUCCUUCCUCCCCAGCGGCAGUGUGUACCCCAGGGAGCUGAAGGUGUUGUCCUUCCUCCCCAGCGGCAGUGUGAGUCCCAGGGAGCCAAAGGUGUCGUCCUUCCUCCCCAGCGGCAGUGUGUACCCCAGGGAGCAGAAGGUGCCGUCCUUCCUCCCCAGCGGCAGUGUGUAUCCCAGGGAGCUGAAGGUGUCGUCCUUCCUCCCCAGCGGCAGUGUGUAUCCCAGGGAGCUGAAGGUGCCGUCCUUCCUCCCCAGCGGCAGUGUGUAUCCCAGGGAGCUGAAGGGGCCGUCCUUCCUCCCCAGCAGCAGUGUGAGUCCCAGGGAGCCAAAGGUGUCGUCCUUCU